CAGCUGUCUGUCUUCAUUUUCAGUCUCCCGGACUGGUCCUCUGAGGAUGGCUCUGUUCCACUGCCUGAGCUCCACGCUGCCAGCCAUAUUCUGGGUCAUGUGACAUCUCUGCAUCGCCACUGGCGUGGAAGGACUGGGUAACCAGCCAGCUGGAGAUGGUUAAUAAGGAGGCACUGGAGUGACGGAAAGUUCCCUGGAAAUCACCUGCUUCCUGUGUCACCUCCCAGAUGGAGAAGGAUAUUCAUCAAACCUAAUUUUGGAUAAAAGUGACUGGGUCUGAACCUCUUCACCAGCCUCAGUGAAUACUUCCGGGGUGGCGUGACUGAAGGUUGCUUGGAACCUCCGUCACGAAGUUCGUCAUAGAAAGAAAUGAAACCAAUAAUCAAGAAAGCUGCUGCUGAGGAAAAAGAUGCAGGACUCAGCAUAGAACCACACAGCUCUUCACAGCUUUACACAAGGCUCUGCCUCACACCCCACAGAAAGCCACUGUCCCUGCUGGAUAACCCUACCUGGGGACAACUCUCCCAGGGAGCUCAGAUUCACUGCCCAGGAGCCUGUUGGGAAGGACGGUGGGCAGGCAUGAUGCUCAGCCAGGAGGGAGCCUGUUGUACAGCCAAAACACAGCCUUUGAGACGCUGACAUCAUGAGAAGAGUGAGGAUUCAUGUCUGGAUCAUCAAAAAUGAUCACUCAUUGAAAAGCAAGUCUGGAAUCAACCGAGGGCUCUUAAUAGCUUCUCGUAGGU